CGGGUGGCUGCAGCAGUGGGGAAUAUUGCACAAUGGGCGCAAGCCUGAUGCAGCAACGCCGCGUGAGGGAUGAAGGCCUUCGGGUUGUAAACCUCUUUUAGCAGGGAAGAAGCGAAAGUGACGGUACCUGCAGAAAAAGCACCGGCUAACUACGUGCCAGCAGCCGCGGUAAUACGUAGGGUGCAAGCGUUGUCCGGAAGUAUUGGGCGUAAAGAGCUCGUAGGCGGUUUGUCACGUCUGCUGUGAAAAUCCAAGGCUCAACCUUGGACUUGCAGUGGGUACGGGCAGGCUAGAGUGCGGUAGGGGGGAUGGGAAUUCCUGGUGUAGCGGUGGAAUGCGCAGAUAUCAGGAGGAACACCAAUAGCGAAGGCACAUCUCUGUGCCGUAACUGACGCUGAGGAGCGAAAGCGUGGGGAGCGAACAGGAUUAGAUACCCGGGUAGUC
rnacentral:rRNA from 1 species